AUGACUAGCACAAGUGUGAGGGGAACCUUUAGCUUAGAAAGGAGAAGAUUCAGUUCAAUUCUGCCUUAAGUACGAAGUCAGUGGGGUGACCUUUGGUCUGUCAAUCUCUCUCAGAUUUAGGAAGGAGCCAGCAUUUUUUAAAAGCCUUGGGGGGAAAAAAACUGCAGCAACUUGUCCAGGCAGUUGCCCGGACUCAAAAACAAACUUGAAACCUCCACCACCUCCCUCCCAAAAAUGUCCCUAUAUUACUGCUAUUGCCAGAUUUCAGGUUAACUGAUGGCACAGAAAAGAUUUGGAAUCCAACAGUCCUGCUUUCUGUCCUCUUCAUGUGCUCAGAGGAACUGUUAUUCAGACAUGGAACAGAUUUUAUAUUUACUCAGAUUCUAAUGAGCCCAUUUGCCUCCCGUUUCUGACAAAAAGGAGACAUCUACACAAUAAAUUGGCAAACCCAUGUAAUUGCUCCCGGGAUGUUUUUUUUAAAACUUGAAAGGAGAGAAAAAUACAACUCGCCUAAAUAUUUGCCAUCUGAGAGGAGUGUGUGAGUCAGUAUUUAGAGC